rnacentral:lncRNA from 1 species
UGGCGAGGUAACAGUGGAAACAACAGGGAUUGGAUCUGAAUUACUGGCAAAAUGAUCUGACGGAGAAGCUGAAAAUAAUCUAAUUUGAAUGAAAUUGAGUGGUUUCUGGGUGGUCUCAAAAGUACCAAGAAAAUGGGCAUGAAAUGCAACAUUUUUUAUGCUUAAAUUGUCAAAAGAUGCGAUUUUGUUUGUGGGUUUUUGUGGGGUUGGAGAAUCAAGAUUGUGGGAGCAGUUGAAAUCUUUGUUUUCUGGAUUUACAGAAGAAGAAAGAAUCUUGGUGUAAAGAAGGUUGAAUCUUUGUUGGUUUGGGAAUUGGGUAGAUUCUGGAGUUGAAAAGUGAGAAACAAGUGAUGAUGAUUUUUUAUGAUGAUUAAACAAAGGAAAAAUAAAUGGAGUUCUUGGAGAUUUCAUGGAUUCAUGCAACGGAUUAAACAAAAUAUGCAUUGAAUAUUGAAAUUCAAUGUUUAGCUCCAAUAGAUUGAAGCGGCUUGCAAGAUGAUG